CGCAUCUGUGCAUGCAGCAUAUCAAUAAGCGGAGGAAAAGUAAAUGCUGUAUACCUACGCUUAGGAUGUUGACGCGCGUGUGUGCGUGAGUCUAUACAUGACUCUGCGCAUAUCAAUAAGCGGAGGAAAAGAAACUAACAAGGAUUCCCUUAGUAACGGCGAGUGAAGCGGGAAGAGCUCAAAUUUGAAAUCUUCAAGGUUUUACCUUGACGAAUUGUAGUUUAAAGAAGUGUUUUCUGUUGAAGUUUUGGUAAAAGUUCUUUGGAAUAGGACAUCAUAGAGGGUGAGAAUCCCGUAUUUGACCAUUAUUUUCAGCUGUGUGAUACACUUUCAAAGAGUCGGAUUGUUUGGGAAUGCAGUCCAAAAUGGGUGGUAAAUUUCAUCUAAAGCUAAAUAUUGGCGAGAGACCGAUAGCGAACAAGUACCGUGAGGGAAAGAUGAAAAGAACUUUGAAAAGAGAGUUAAACAGUACGUGAAAUUGUCAAAAGGGAAGCGUUUGACACCAGUGUUGUUUUCUCGAAAGUCAAUUAAAAAGAGUUUGGAUUUUGUUGUGUAUUGACCUUAACAGCUUGCAUUUCAAUUUUCUUAGCUUUUUUUAAUGCACUUUUCGUUUAACAAGUCAACAUCAGUUUCUUUUGUUGUAAAAGGGUCAUUGGAAGGUGGCUUUCUCUUCGGAGAAAGUGUUUAUAGCCUUUGAUCUCUGCAAUCGGAGAGACUGAGGUCUGCAGCGUAGAUCCUUCGGGGUUAGAUACAUUUGUGCUAAGUUAUAGCUUUUUAUAGACAACUUGUUGACUAUGAUUAGUCUUGUAGCUUACUCGCUUAUGCUAUUUUACCUACGCUUAGGAUGUUGACGCGCGUGUGUGCGUG
rnacentral:rRNA from 1 species